UAAGCGGAGGAAAAGAAACUAACAAGGAUUCCCCUAGUAACGGCGAGUGAAGAGGGAAGAGCCCAAGAUUGAAAGCUGGCGUCUUCGGCGUCCGCAUUGUAAUCUCAAGAAGUGUUUUCCGCUUCGGACCAAGCCUAAGUCUCCUGGAAAGGAGCAUCGUAGAGGGUGAAAAUCCCGUACAUGGUUUGGAGCGCCCGAAGCUUUGUGAUACACUUUCUAAGAGUCGAGUUGUUUGGGAAUGCAGCUCAAAAUGGGUGGUAAAUGCCAUCUAAGGCUAAAUAUUGGGGAGAGACCGAUAGCGAACAAGUACAGUGAUGGAAAGAUGAAAAGAACUUUGAAAAGAGAGUUAAAAAGUACGUGAAAUUGCCAAAAGGGAAGGGUAGGAGGUCAGAGAUGUGGUCUGGGAUUCAGCCUUGCUUUUGCUUGGUGUAUUUCCCAGUUUGCAGGCCAACGUCGGUUUUGGACACUGGAGAAGGGUAAGAGGAAUGUGGCACUCUUCGGAGUGUGUUAUAGCCUCUUACUGGAUGCAGCGACCGAGACCGAGGAACGCAGCGUACUCGAAAGAGCGGGCCUUCGGGCACCUUUACGCUUAGGGCGUUGGCAUAAUGGCCCUCUACCACCCGUCU
rnacentral:rRNA from 1 species